UUACGGUCAUAUCACGUUGAAACAGCGGUUCCCGUAUGUUCAACGAAGUUAAGCAACGUCGAUCUUAGUCAGUAUCUAGAUGGCUGCCCGCUUGGGAAUACCAGGUGCUGUAAU